AUUGAACGCUGGCGGCAUGCCUUACACAUGCAAGUCGAACAGCAGCACGGGUGCUUGCACCUGGUGGCGAGUGGCGAACGGAUGAGUAAUACAUCGGAACGUACCUUAUCGUGGGGGAUAACGCAGCGAAAGCUGUGCUAAUACCGCAUACGCCCUGAGGGGGAAAGCGGGGGAUCGCAAGACCUCGCGCGAUUAGAGCGGCCGAUGCCUGAUUAGCUUGUUGGGGGGGUAAAACCCCACAAAGGCGACGAUCAGUAGCUGGUCUGAGAGGACGAUCAGCCACACUGGGACGGAGACACGGCCCAGACUCCUACGGGGGGAAGCAGUGGGGAAUUUGGGACAAGGGGGGAAACCCUGAUCCAGCAAUGCCGCGUGAGUGAAGAAGCCUUUGGGUUUGUAAAGCUCUUUUGUCGGGGAAAAAACACCGGCUCUAACACAGUCCGGGAAUGACGGUACCUGAAGAAUAAGCACCGGCUAACUACGUGCCAGCAGCCGCCGUAA
rnacentral:rRNA from 1 species